GCCCGGUUAGCUCAAUUGGAUAGAGCGUGAGACUCUUACAAACGUAAUCUCAAGGUUGCGGGUUCGACCCCCGCAUUGGGCU
rnacentral:tRNA from 1 species